UCCGUAGGUGAACCUGCGGAAGGAUCAUUACCGAGUGCGGGUUCGAACGAGCCCAACCUCCCACCCGUGUUUACUGUUACCGGCGGGCCCACUGGGGCCUGGCCCCGGUCGCCGGGGGGCUUCUGCCCCCGGGCCCGCGCCCGCCGAAGCACCCUAGAACCCUGCCUGAACAGUGAGUCUGAGUGAGAUUUUAAAUCAUUACAACGGAUCUCUUGGUUCCGGCAUCGAUGAAGAACGCAGCGAAAUGCGAUAAGUAAUGUGAAUUGCAGAAUUCCGUGAAUCAUCGAAUCUUUGAACGCACAUUGCGCCCCCUGGCAUUCCGGGGGGCAUGCCUGUCCGAGCGUCAUUUCUGCCCUCCAGCACGGCUGGGUGUUGGGUGCUGUCCCCCCGGGGACACGCCCCAAAAGCAGUGGCGGCGCCGCGUCGGGUCCUCGAGCGUAUGGGGCUCUGUCACCCGCUCGGGAGGGACUCGGUCGGCGCUGGUCUUCCCUUUAGGCCGCCCUUCGGGGUCGGUUGACCUCGGAUCAGGUAGGGCUACCCGCUGAACUUAAGCAUAUCAAUAAGCGGAGGAAAAGAAACCAACAGGGAUUGCCUC
rnacentral:misc_RNA from 1 species